CAAACCCAUCCCGCCAACCCGUCC
rnacentral:siRNA from 1 species